rnacentral:lncRNA from 1 species
GGAUAUUAUGGUCUGGCAAAACAAGAAAAGAAUUCAUGCACAGUAUCACACCAAGAGAACAGGACUUAAAACUUAUAUUCUUUAUAUUAUCAUAGUUAUUUUACAUAAAGAAACCACUACACCUACAUCUAUUUAUAUUAACCCAUAACUCUAGGAAUAUGCUACUACAUAUUGUAAUGGCUUCUUCUUUUCAAGUGUCAUAUAGAAAUGAUACUUGUUUUUGUUUUCUAUUUGAAAAGGUGUAACGUUUCAUACAUAUAAAAAGAGAAACUUUUUUUCCUGGCAUGGGUAAACAGUGACAACGGAAGGUAGAUAGUUCCUGAAUUCAUGCAACAUAUGGCCAAGAUACAACAACAACAACAACAACGACAUACCCAGUGUAUUCCCACAAAGUGGGAAUUAAAAAGAAGAAAAAAGCAUAUGAAUAAGUCUAAGAGCUUAUUCUUGGUGGAAUCCCAAGUCAAGUAAUGGUAUAGACUAUUAUGGAAAGCAUCAAUACCCCGUUCUCUCUUUAGCUACGCGAGCCAACUGGGGAAGACAUUAUCUAGGUAUGGAGAACCAAUGAAAGGAAUCUCAACCAUACUAAAUGGUUCAACGGAUAUUAUGGUCUGGCAAAACAAGAAAAGAAUUCAUGCACAGUAUCACACCAAGAGAACAGGACUUAAAACUUAUAUUCUUUAUAUUAUCAUAGUUAUUUUACAUAAAGAAACCACUACACCUACAUCUAUUUAUAUUAACCCAUAACUCUAGGAAUAUGCUACUACAUAUUGUAAUGGCUUCUUCUUUUCAAGUGUCAUAUAGAAAUGAUACUUGUUUUUGUUUUCUAUUUGAAAAGGUGUAACGUUUCAUACAUAUAAAAAGAGAAACUUUUUUUCCUGGCAUGGGUAAACAGUGACAACGGAAGGUAGAUAGUUCCUGAAUUCAUGCAACAUAUGGCCAAGAUACAACAACAACAACAACAACGACAUACCCAGUGUAUUCCCACAAAGUGGGGUCUGGGGAGGGUAAAGUGUACGCAGUCCAUACCACUACCUCCGAUGACGUAGAGAGGCUGUUGUUGAACAUACUGUUUAUUAUUCACAGAGUAAGUAAGUAUCUAUCCAAAAAUAAAAAAAAGUAUGUACCCUGGUUUACAACCUUGAUGUAUCCAAUUAAGUGAAAGAAACAGAAUGGAAAGUUGAAUCUCUAUUUUCAACAAGAGCUAAUUAUACUUUGGCUUAUUGCUGUGUAGAAAAUAUUCCUUUUCCUACUUACAGUAAAUAGCACUAAGGUGAAGCGUGAAGACACAAACAGAGAAGAAAGCACAUAAUCAGUCUCGUUAGCUGACUAUACAUCCUCAAGCACAAUAUCAAGCAUAAGCCUCAUAUCACGAUUAUCCAUGACCUAAUGCUAACAACAAUAACAACAACAUACCCUGUGAAAUCCCACAAGUGAGGUCUGAGGAGGGUUGUGCGUACACAGACCUUAUCCCUACCUUUAGAAGGUCGAGAGGCUGUUUCCGAUAGACCCUCGGCUCAAGUAAAGCAU